GGUUGUGGCUCAGUGGUAGAGUGCUUGCCUAGCAUGCACAAGGCACUGGGUUUGAUCCUCAUCACCA
rnacentral:tRNA from 1 species